CUUUAUUCCUUUAAACUGUGGUCCUUACAAGCUGCUACUCAAAUUGCUCUCAUUUAGGUUCCUGAUGUUCAUCUGUGAUCUGCAGGGAUUGCUCUGCUGCUCUGAAUUGCACCAGAGCAAUCCCAGCCAACUGAACAGACGCUCCUCUUCACUCCUCUGCUUUAUGGUGAUGAUGCCACUGCUCUUGGUUGCAACUGACUCCCAGUCCUUGGACUCCCACCCACUUCAUAAUUAAGUGCCCUACCUGAAAAGAAGAAUAGAUAUACAUCAGAGGAAACCGCGUCCAUCUUCCCUAGUGGAGAACAUCAUGAUGUUCUGCAGUGACUGCACUGGGCUAGGAAAAGAAAUGACUGCUGCUGGUAAGUGAACAGAAAAACAGAAGAGUGACUAACUAGGUCUGCAACAGGGAUAACAUCUCACUUUGCUUGGAACAGUACUGCAGCAGAACCCUGCAGUAUAGGAGCAGAAGUCUACUUCAUUAAAUACUGUAUGAUUAUAUGAAGUGUUAAAACACAGAAAUCACUACCAACUAUACUACCCAUCAUAACAUGCUCAGUUUGGACUUUGAGCUACCUUCAAAACUUUUUUAUUUUUAAUUAUUUUUUUAAAUAUAACAGUUCUGCCCAACACCAGAAUGGAUGAAGUAUAUAGCAGCUUUUGUGAACACACACUGUGUUUGAAAACUAUGUUAUGUAUAUUUUAAUUUGGAGGUCAAAUUCUGUGGGUUCCCCUUAUUUAGGUUGUGCCAGCCCAUGGAAUCAACUAAAGUAACAUGGAUUUGGCCAUACAUCAGAGCAGGAAAGCAUACCGCAAAGAACCAUGGUUUUAUGUCUGUGCAGUUAUGCCACAUUCUCACCUUUAUGAGGCAUGGCUUGCAGCCAUGCAGAGGGAAGAAUGUGUGGAAAUCAGGAACCCAUGGAAAUAUUCUUCUAAACCCAUAGAGCUGAUGCCAUUUGAGCAUAAACAUUAACAUUCUAAUCUAAAACGUUUUAUUCUUUACUGAAACUGACGUUAAGUGCAGUGAAUAACAUAAUCACUGAACAAUCCCAUGUGAUGGCGAAUGCUGUUGUUUUCAACAAAGACAAAACCAAAAGUAUAGACACUUACCUUCCUUCCCUCCUUUCUUUUUGCACUUUUUCAGUUCUUUCCUUCUCUUCCCUCAUUCUCCCUUGUUCUAAUUUUUUACAGAGGAAAAGAAAAUAAAAUGUUGAAACAGCAAAAGAAAUCUUUAAAGAAAUUGAUAUUUUGAAAGGUAAAUGUUAAAUAAAAUUGUGAGAAGAGCUUUUCACCAGCUCAGAAUAAUGGGUCUUAUUGUACUGCUCUUUCUGUGAACUCCUCAAACCUGUGGCCCUGGGAUGGUGACACAGAUUCCCUGCAAUCUGCAGAGGAACUGCCAGUGCACUAUUCAGUGAUAAUAUUGAUAGCAUCUCACCUUGCUUGCUUCACACAGAUCACUUUUCCCAAUUUUCUGCCUGCCUUGAAAAGUAUGUGCUCUUUCCUUGUCACCUCCCCCUGUGCCGGUAGGCGUGGGACUCAGCAUGUGUACAUGUUAGACAGACCUUUCUUCCAACAAUCUGUCUUUCUUUUUACUCCUUUCACCUGGACCUGCAGUCAUACUAUUAAUAUAAUGGCUCCUUUUGUGCAGUAUGACGCAAAGGAAUUUCAGGGCUUGGAUUUAUUUCUCAACAAGUCAGAAACAGUUUUUUAAACACUGCCAUUUAUUUCCCAGAAGCACUGAAUCAUCUUUGGGGCUGCGGUGCCGUGAAUUAUGCCUCAGAAUGCAUACAAAAUGGUGUCUUUCGUGGAAGGUUGGCUCAAUUAUUAGCAUAUCAUCAGAGUGAAAAUGUGUGUGAGGUGGCAAAUUCUCAUGAACAUGAAUUCCAGAUUUGGUCUGUCUUGAUAAGAAGUGGAUAGGAGAACAGGAGGAAAUGGCACUGAUGCUUCAAAACAGCUAGAGGCUGGAAAGUGUGGGGGGAAAAAGAAUCUGCAAUAUUGCAGACAUAUGGCUGCAACAUGACUGACUUCAAGAAAGAUAACACCUAAUGGCAAUGUGUUAUCAAACCAAAAAGAAGAAAAAUAAGUUGUUCACUGUCUCUUCCUUCUCUGAGCAUGAGUUCCAGAGGGUUCUCUCUGACCUGACAGCCAAGAUGUGAAUCUUCGUCAGCCCAUAGCUACUGCCUAGUCAGUACUGCUUCCAACACUCCCAGCCUCAUGACCCCAGCAGGCAGGGUAGACUUUGUAACACUGUGGGGAGUGCUGUCAUCCACAGAGGUGGAGUUUUGCCUUCCCACAGCUGGAGUGGAGCGAUGCCCAGCAGGAACCACGCUGGGCUGCUCUCCAGUGCUCAGAAACUCUGCCCUUAAUGCAAGAAGUGAGAGCUUCCAAAGCCCAGAGGAUGCUACUGUGCUCCCUGAGGCUGAGCCCCUCUCCCACUCUGUGUUGUAUUUUGGAAACAAUCACGAUCACCGAUGCCUUCUCUUUCCAGACAAGUGCCAGGAAGAAGUUUUCUUUCCGUGUUCCAACGCAUGAUUAAAGACAUGCUUUUAGCAACAGGGCACACACCGGAUUUUCUCCACCCAGCAAUAGCAAAAUAACU
ensembl:lncRNA